AGUUCAGCUCGAUAUAUCAUUUUCAAAUGAGACAGUGAACAUAACAGACAAGAAAAAUGAAGCUUACUCUAUUGAUAGCUCUGGUUUGCACCGCUUUCAUUUCAAAAUUAGUUCUUGCUGAUUCCCAAGAUUUCACUGAAUGUUCGGAUCCCAAUGCUGAAUAUCGUGAUUGUGGUAGCGCAUGCCCCCUUACAUGUACUAAUAUGAACCGAAAUUUUAUGUGCAUCAUGGUUUGUCGAUCCGGAUGCUUUUGUCGGCAAGGGCUAGUGAGAAAUGCUAACAACAGAUGUAUCAAACCAUCAGAGUGCCCGCAAUGAUCGAAGAGGUCGACCAAUUGAAGGGGUACCCCGAGGAUUAAAAAAUGAAAACAAAAACAAUUUGAAAUGCUUUUUAAUCUGCAUUGUUCAGAAGAAACAAUCCUAAAUUUUAUAAUUUAGGAUUGCUUGUUGAAUACAAUUUCCAUUAAAAAAUAUAAUAAUCACUUUAGAAGAUUAUUUUGCCUUUUUCCACAUAUCCAAUAGAAAUAUAUCAAAAUUGUCAAUUGUUGUUCUUCAAAGUACAAACAGAUUUAGUUAACACAGAUUGUUUGAUAGACUUUGAUAUUGUAUUUUAGAUUUUCAUAUUCUAAUGCUUUAAAAUCUCCAUGCAGUCCGAAGCAUCUUCAAUCCGACUGCCGUAAAAGAGGAAAAGGGUCAACCUGGCAAUCAAAAUUUUCAUUAACCCGAAAAACACACCAAAACCGUAGCCAUGGCGCAACAUAAACCUGACGGAAACCUUU